rnacentral:rRNA from 1 species
UACGAGGGGGGCAAAUGUUGUUCGGAAUCACUGGGCGUAAAGGGAGCGUAGGCGGGUUCUUAAGUUAGGUGUUUAAUCCCGGGGCCCAACCCCGGACCGGCACUUAAAACUGGGAAUCUUGAAUAGUGGAGAGGUCAGUGGAAUUGGGGGUGUAGCGGUGGAAUGCGUAGAUAUCGGAAGGAACACCAGCGGCGAAGGCGGCGACCUGGACAGUAACUGACACUCAACUACGAAAGCGUGGGGAGCGAACAGG